GAGACUAUGGAGAACUCUCUAGGAGGGCAGGUCAACAAGGUGAGGUCUGGUUACACCUCUAAAUAACAUGAGAGUUCCAGAUGGAAUAGCAUCAGAGACUAUGGAGAACUCUCUAGGAGGGUAUGUCAACAAGGUGAGGUCUGGUUACACCUCUAAAUAACAUGAGAGUUCCAGAUGGAAUAGCAUCAGAGACUAUGGAGAACUCUCUAGGAGGGCAGGUCAACAAGGUGAGGUCUGGUUACACCUCUAAAUAACAUGAGAGUUCCAGAUGGAAUAGCAUCAGAGGCUAUGGAGAACUCUCUAGGAGGGUAUGUCAACAAGGUGAGGUCUGGUUACACCUCUAAAUAACAUGAGUUCCAGAUGGAAUAGCAUCAGAGACUAUGGAGAACUCUCUAGGAGGGCAGGUCAACAAGGUGAGGUCUGGUUACACCUCUAAAUAACAUGAGAGUUCCAGAUGGAAUAGCAUCAGAGACUAUGGAGAACUCUCUAGGAGGGCAGGUCAACAAGGUGAGGUCUGGUUACACCUCUAAAUAACAUGAGAGUUCCAGAUGGAAUAGCAUCAGAGGCUAUGGAGAACUCUCUAGGAGGGAAGGUCAACAAGGUGAGGUCUGGUUACACCUCUAAAUAACAUGAGAGUUCCAGAUGGAAUAGCAUCAGAGGCUAUGGAGAACUCUCUAGGAGGGAAGGUCAACAAGGUGAGGUCUGGUUACACCUCUAAAUAACAUGAGAGUUCCAGAUGGAAUAGCAUCAGAGGCUAUGGAGAACUCUCUAGGAGGGUAGGUCAACAAGGUGAGGUCUGGCUACACCUCUAAAUAACAUGAGAGUUCCAGAUGGAAUAGCAUCAGAGGCUAUGGAGAACUCUCUAGGAGGGUAGGUCAACAAGGUGAGGUCUGACUACACAUCUAAAUAACAUGAGAGUUCCAGAUGGAAUAGCAUCAGAGACUAUGGAGAACUCUCUAGGAGGGCAGGUCAACAAGGUGAGGUCUGACUACACAUCUAAAUAACAUGAGAGUUCCAGAUGGAAUAGCAUCAGAGACUAUGGAGAACUCUCUAGGAGGGCAGGUCAACAAGGUGAGGUCUGGUUACACCUCUAAAUAACAUGAGAGUUCCAGAUGGAAUAGCAUCAGAGACUAUGGAGAACUCUCUAGGAGGGUAUGUCAACAAGGUGAGGUCUGGUUACACCUCUAAAUAACAUGAGAGUUCCAGA